rnacentral:antisense_RNA from 1 species
CGGAGAAGAUCUUUUUUAUAUUCAGCCAUGCCAAUUGACUUACUACCCUCUCCAUAGCCAAAGGAAUGCCCAAAUUUCCACAGAAAGGCAUUUUUAUAUGAGGAAGCUCAUCCCUGUGGACCUUUCUCUUGAAUGCCUACUAUGAGUCACUCAGCAAGAGAGGCACCCAGCUCCCUCAGGGUCUGCAGUGCCUCGGAGGCAUUCACACUGAGCUUUCAUCCCCCAGAAUCCAGUGAGGAUUUGAUCUCCAUCAGCCAGAGGGAAUCACAUCUCACCAUGGAUAUGAUGACUUCUGCCCUGCCAAAGCCAAGGUUGAUCUCAGGUCUCUCGUCCUCCACCCUGCACUCAGGCAACAAAAGCAUUCGAUCAGAUGCUGUGUUACACAGCUCUGAUGUGCCGGGCUGGUCCUGGGUGCCAAGGAUACAUCU